rnacentral:rRNA from 1 species
UGGGGAAUUUUGGACAAUGGGCGAAAGCCUGAUCCAGCAAUGCCGCGUGUGUGAAGAAGGCCUUCGGGUUGUAAAGCACUUUUGUCCGGAAAGAAAUCCUUGGCUCUAAUACAGUCGGGGGAUGACGGUACCGGAAGAAUAAGCACCGGCUAACUACGUGCCAGCAGCCGCGGUAAUACGUAGGGUGCAAGCGUUAAUCGGAAUUACUGGGCGUAAAGCGUGCGCAGGCGGUUUGCUAAGACCGAUGUGAAAUCCCCGGGCUCAACCUGGGAACUGCAUUGGUGACUGGCAGGCUAGAGUAUGGCAGAGGGGGGUAGAAUUCCACGUGUAGCAGUGAAAUGCGUAGAGAUGUGGAGGAAUACCGAUGGCGAAGGCAGCCCCCUGGGCCAAUACUGACGCUCAUGCACGAAAGCGUGGGGAGCAAACAGGAUUAGAUACCCUGGUAGUCCACGCCCUAAACGAUGUCAACUAGUUGUUGGGGAUUCAUUUCCUUAGUAACGUAGCUAGCGCGUGAAGUUGACCGCCUGGGGAGUACGGUCGCAAGAUUAAAACUCAAAUGAAUUGACGGGGUCAUA